AGACGUCUACAUUAGAUACCCCGGUAGUCCCAGCCGUAAACUAUGCGCGUUAGGUGUAUCGGUGACCACGAGUUACCGAGGUGCCGAAGGGAAACCGUGAAACGUGCCGCCUGGGAAGUACGGUCGCAAGGCUGAAACUUAAAGGAAUUGGCGGGGGAGCACAACAACGGGUGGAGCCUGCGGUUUAAUUGGACUCAACGCCGGACAACUCACCGGGACGACAGCAAUAUGUAGGCCAGGCUGAAGACCUUGCCUGAAUCGCUG
rnacentral:rRNA from 1 species